AAUAGAUACCGGGUAGUCCUGGCCCUAAACGAUGAGUGCUUGGUGUGGCGGGUAUCGAUCCCUGCCGUGCCGAAGCUAACGCAUUAAGCACUCCGCCUGGGGAGUACGGUCGCAAGGCUGAAACUCGAAAGGAAUUGACGGGGGCCCGCACAAGCGGUGGAGCAUGUGGUUUAAUUCGACGCAACGCGAAGAACCUUACCCAGGCUCGAAAUGCAGACGAUCGCCGGUGAAAGCCGGUUCCCGCAAGGGCGUCUGUAUAGGUGCUGCAUGGCUGUCGUCAGCUCGUGUCGUGAGAUGUUGGGUUAAGUCCCGCAACGAGCGCAACCCUUGUCUUCUGUUGCCAUCAGGUCACGCUGGGCACUCUGGAGAAACUGCCGGUGACAAACCGGAGGAAGGUGGGGAUGACGUCAAGUCAGCAUGGCCUUUAUGUCUGGGGCUACACACGUGCUACAAUGGCCGGUACAAACCGCUGCAAACUCGCGAGGGUGAGCUAAUCGGAGAAAGCCGGUCUCAGUUCGGAUUGGU
rnacentral:rRNA from 1 species